GUUUGAUCAUGGCUCAGGAUGAACGCUAGCGGGAGGCUUAACACAUGCAAGUCGAGGGGCAUCCCGGGGUAGCAAUACUCUGGUGGCGACCGGCGCACGGGUGAGUAACGCGUAUGUAACCUGCCCUUUACUGGAGGAUAACCCCGGAGAAAUUCGGACUAAUACUGCAUAAUAAUAUUUUGAGGCAUCUUGAGAUAUUUAAAACUACGGUGGUAAAGGAGGGGCAUGCGUAACAUUAGCUAGUUGGGAGGGUAACGUCCUGCCAAGGCGAUGAUGUUUAGGGGACCUGAGAGGGUGACCCCCCACACUGGUACUGAGACACGGACCAGACUCCUACGGGAGGCAGCAGUGAGGAAUAUUGGUCAAUGGGCGAGAGCCUGAACCAGCCAUCCCGCGUGAAGGAAGAAAGCGCUAUGCGUUGUAAACUUCUUUUCCAGGGGGAUAAAGUUAUAUACGAGUAUAUAAUUGAAGGUACCCUGGGAAUAAGCAUCGGCUAACUCCGUGCCAGCAGCCGCGGUAAUACGGAGGAUGCGAGCGUUAUCCGGAUUUAUUGGGUUUAAAGGGUGCGUAGGCGGAUUAUUAAGUCAGUGGUGAAACCCUGCAGCUUAACUGUAGACUUGCCAUUGAUACUGAUAGUCUUGAGUAUGGUCAAGCAGCGGAAUGUGUAUGUAGCGUGAAUGCUUAGAUAUUACACAGACACGAUAGCGAGCAGCUGCUGGUCGUACUGACGCUGAUGCACGAAAGCGUGGG
rnacentral:rRNA from 1 species